GAGCGGAGGCGAGCGAUCUCAAAGCGGCGGGGGCGGAGCCGCUCCCCCACGCCCGCAACGGUCUCGUGCUCAAGGGUUGGUGCGUCGAGUCGCGCAAGCGCCCCAUCCUCAACUCCCUCGCCAUACGCGAGUGGGAAGAAAAGCUUGGAACGUCACAUAUGCCUGAGAUGGUUUUCGGAGAGAGUUCUCUGUCUCUUUUACAUAUAAGCUCUGGUAUUAAGUUACAUUUCAAUGCAUUAGAUGCUCUCAGGGGAUGGAAGCAGGAGUCGUUACCACCUGUUGAAGUCCCUGCUGCUGCAAAAUGGAAAUUUAGAAGUAAACCUUCUGAGCAAGUGAUACUUGAUUAUGACUAUACAUUCACAACACCAUAUUGCGGCAGUGAGAUGAUAGAACCGAACUAUGAAAAGAAGGGUUUGCAUUGGCAGGACACGGAUGAGCGAAUUGAUCUGGCUGCACUGUCGUCAAGAGAACCAAUUCUUUUUUAUGAUGAGGUUGUUUUGUACGAAGAUGAGUUGGCUGACAAUGGGGUAUCGUUACUAACGGUGAAAGUGAGAGUGAUGCCAAGCUGUUGGUUUCUUCUAUUACGUUACUGGCUUAGAGUUGAUGGAGUGCUAAUGAGGUUGAGGGAUACUCGAGUUUAUUGUGCUUUUGGUAGUAAUGGCAAUGCUGAACCUGUAGUUCUGCGGGAAAGCUGCUGGAGAGAAGCAACUAUCCAAAGUUUGUCUGCUCAAGGCAUUCCUUCUGAUUCUGCAGCCUAUGGAGAUCCCAACCUCAUUGUUCAUAAGCUCCCUAUUAUCAUGCAAAAGAACCAAAGGCUGGAGAUCUCACGCUAAUCCAUUCCAAAGGUUUCUAUCUUAUCUCCUGAACUUCAUCACGAGCUUAGUUACAGUUCAUCUUCAGUUCCUCGUCCGAAGGCCGAGGAAGUUUAAAAUACAGAUAUAUCAAAGAAGGAAGUAGAUGGAGCUAGCCAUAGUUAUGGGGGCUCAUCGUGUGAAGGGUUGCACCUCUCUUCAGGAUACCGAGUGCACAGGGUGUUUAGAGUAUCCCUACCCAUUUGUUAAGUGGAAACUAAUGGCUGUUUGAUGAGCGAUGUGUUUAUAAUUUGGUCAAUAUGUAUGUUUGCAUUGAAUCUGCCUCGUAUGUGUGACUAUUGUGCUAUACGUGGUUAUUUAUUAGUUUAAUCGAUUUGGAGAAUUGUCAGUUCGUUCAA